GCACAAGCGGAGGAACAUGUGGUUUAAUCGAUGAUACGCGAGGAACCUUACCUGGGCUUAAAUGUAGGUUGCAUAACUUAGAAAUAGGUUUUCCCUUCGGGGCUACUUACAAGGUGCUGCAUGGUUGUCGUCAGCUCGUGCCGUGAGGUGUCGGGUUAAGUCCCAUAACGAGCGCAACCCCUAUCGUUAGUUGCCAGCGGGUCAAGCCGGGGACUCUAGCGAGACUGCCACCGUAAGGUGAGAGGAAGGUGGGGAUGACGUCAAAUCAGCACGGCCCUUAUGUCCAGGGCUACACACGUGUUACAAUGGCCGAUACAAAGGGCAGCUACCGGGCGACCGGAUGCUAAUCUCAAAAGUCGGUCCCAGUUCGGAUUGGAGUCUGCAACCCGACUCCAUGAAGUUGGAUUCGCUAGUAAUCGCGCAUCAGCCAUGGCGCGGUGAAUACGUUCCCGGGCCUU
rnacentral:rRNA from 1 species